rnacentral:rRNA from 1 species
GAUGAACGCUAGCGGCAGGCCUAACACAUGCAAGUCGAGGGGCAGCACAGGUAGCAAUACUGGGUGGCGACCGGCGGAUGGGUGCGUAACGCGUAUGCAACCUACCAUUGAUUGGGGCAUAGCCCGAAGAAAUUCGGAUUAAUACUCCAUAAUAUUCAUCAAAGGCAUCUUUUAUGAAUUAAAGCUUUUGCGAUCAAUGAUGGGCAUGCGUGACAUUAGUUAGUUGGUGAGGUAACGGCUCACCAAAACGAUGAUGUCUAGGGGUUCUGAGAGGAUUAUCCCCCACACUGGUACUGAGACACGGACCAGACUCCUACGGGAGGCAGCAGUGAGGAAUAUUGGUCAAUGGGCGGAAGCCUGAACCAGCCAUUCCGCGUGAAGGAAGAAGGCCUUAUGGGUUGUAAACUUCUUUUCUGUUAGAAGAAUAAGCCCGUCGUGACGGGUGAUGCCGGUAUAGCAGGAAUAAGCAUCGGCUAACUCCGUGCC